ACUAUUUUGACAGAAUAAAUGUGAUGGUUUUAGAAGUCAUUAAUAUAUAAUUUAUAAAUUAUAUAAAUAGUA
rnacentral:tRNA from 1 species